rnacentral:ncRNA from 1 species
UUAUUGGAGAGUUUGAUCCUGGCUCAGGACGAACGCUGGCGGCGUGCCUAACACAUGCAAGUCGAACGGAGUAAGCAGCAAUACAUACUUAGUGGCGAACGGGUGAGUAACGCGUAGACAACCUGCCUCUAAAAUGGGGACAACACCGCGAAAGUGGUGCUAAUACCGAAUGUGGUAUCUCGGUUGCAUGACCGAGAUAAGAAAGAUGGCCUCUACAUGUAAGCUAUCGUUUAGAGAUGGGUCUGCGUCUGAUUAGCUAGUUGGUGAGGUAAUAGCUCACCAAGG